UGCAGUCGAGCGGAGAGAGGUAGCUUGCUACUGAUCUUAGCGGCGGACGGGUGAGUAAUGCUUAGGAAUCUGCCUAUUAGUGGGGGACAACAUUUCGAAAGGAAUGCUAAUACCGCAUACGUCCUACGGGAGAAAGCAGGGGAUCUUCGGACCUUGCGCUAAUAGAUGAGCCUAAGUCGGAUUAGCUAGUUGGUGGGGUAAAGGCCUACCAAGGCGACGAUCUGUAGCGGGUCUGAGAGGAUGAUCCGCCACACUGGGACUGAGACACGGCCCAGACUCCUACGGGAGGCAGCAGUGGGGAAUAUUGGACAAUGGGCGCAAGCCUGAUCCAGCCAUGCCGCGUGUGUGAAGAAGGCCUUAUGGUUGUAAAGCACUUUAAGCGAGGAGGAGGCUACUUUAGUUAAUACCUAGAGAUAGUGGACGUUACUCGCAGAAUAAGCACCGGCUAACUCUGUGCCAGCAGCCGCGGUAAUACAGAGGGUGCAAGCGUUAAUCGGAUUUACUGGGCGUAAAGCGCGCGUAGGCGGCUAAUUAAGUCAAAUGUGAAAUCCCCGAGCUUAACUUGGGAAUUGCAUUCGAUACUGGUUAGCUAGAGUGUGGGAGAGGAUGGUAGAAUUCCAGGUGUAGCGGUGAAAUGCGUAGAGAUCUGGAGGAAUACCGAUGGCGAAGGCAGCCAUCUGGCCUAACACUGACGCUGAGGUGCGAAAGCAUGGGGAGCAAACAGGAUUAGAUACCCUGGUAGUCCAUGCCGUAAACGAUGUCUACUAGCCGUUGGGGCCUUUGAGGCUUUAGUGGCGCAGCUAACGCGAUAAGUAGACCGCCUGGGGAGUACGGUCGCAAGACUAAAACUCAAAUGAAUUGACGGGGGCCCGCACAAGCGGUGGAGCAUGUGGUUUAAUUCGAUGCAACGCGAAGAACCUUACCUGGGCCUUGACAUA
rnacentral:rRNA from 1 species